ACGGGUGAGUAACGCGUGGGAACGUGCCUUCUGGUUCGGAAUAACUCAGGGAAACUUGAGCUAAUACCGGAUACGCCCUUUUUGGGGAAAGGUUUACUGCCGGAAGAUCGGCCCGCGUCUGAUUAGCUAGUUGGUGGGGUAACGGCCUACCAAGGCGACGAUCAGUAGCUGGUCUGAGAGGAUGAUCAGCCACACUGGGACUGAGACACGGCCCAGACUCCUACGGGAGGCAGCAGUGGGGAAUAUUGGACAAUGGGCGCAAGCCUGAUCCAGCCAUGCCGCGUGAGUGAUGAAGGCCUUAGGGUUGUAAAGCUCUUUUAUCCGGGACGAUAAUGACGGUACCGGAGGAAUAAGCCCCGGCUAACUUCGUGCCAGCAGCCGCGGUAAUACGAAGGGGGCUAGCGUUGCUCGGAAUCACUGGGCGUAAAGGGCGCGUAGGCGGCCUUUUAAGUCGGGGGUGAAAGCCUGUGGCUCAACCACAGAAUUGCCUUCGAUACUGGGAGACUUGAGUUCGGAAGAGGUUGGUGGAACUGCGAGUGUAGAGGUGAAAUUCGUAGA
rnacentral:rRNA from 1 species